rnacentral:misc_RNA from 1 species
UUUCCUUCCCAAAACUCUUUCAAUACGGCAGUUUAAUUGAAGAAAAUUAAGAUUUUCAGCAGCUUAUGUAUAUGAAAAAUAGCAAUAAAAAGAAAAAGAUUAACAAGAAGAGUUCUCUUGCAGUUUCUGAUCAUCUUUUCCACAACUACAACACAUAGCAAAAUCAAGCUAUAAAACACUCUCAUAAUAAGUAAUUAAGUGCUACAAUAAUUAAACCUAUAAUUAAAUCCAUGGAUAAAUACAUAAAAAAUUUUCACUUACAAUAUCAAACCAAAAGUAAAGUGAUCAAAGCAGUGGCGAUCAUGAGACUUGACGCCGGAACAGUACUUAUCGCGGAUGACACUUCAGUCUUGUGAGGAGGCUUUCUAUAGUAGAAUGGGAAAUAAGGCAAGAUAGGGUCAGGAGGUGGAGGGCCAUAGUAGUUGUUAUUACCAGACGGUGGUGAAGGGUAAUAUGGGAAAGUCCCUGUUGGGGUUGGGUAGUUUUCGGGAGGUGGGUAUGAUCCUGUCUGAGACGCCGGAGGUGGAGGUGGAAUUGUCGUGCUUGUUCCUGUGCCGGUAGGCGGAGGAUAACAUGGAUAAGGGCAAGUGUCGUCGGUCAUGGUCAUGGUAGGAAGGUGGAGAAGUAUGGAAGUGAAGAAGAGGAUGAAGGUUAGGGUUAAGUUAGUGCCCAUCUUGUUUGAGAGAGGGAGAGAGAGGGGAAAGACAAGAGGGAGUGAAAAGGGAGUGGGUGAGUGAUGUCAAUGGAGUUUAGUUGUUGGCUAUUAGGAGUGCUU